AUACAGAGGGUGCGAGCGUUAAUCGGAAUUACUGGGCGUAAAGGGUGCGUAGGUGGUUGAAUAAGUUGGAUGUGAAAGCCCCGGGCUUAACCUGGGAAGUGCAUACGAAACUGUUCAACUAGAGUACAGAAGAGGAGAGCGGAAUUUCCGGUGUAGCGGUGAAAUGCGUAGAUAUCGGAAGGAACACCAGUGGCGAAGGCGGCUCUCUGGACUGAAACUGACACUGAGGCACGAAAGCGUGGGUAGCAAACAGGAUUAGAAACCCUAGUAGUCC
rnacentral:rRNA from 1 species